AGGGGGUUGAGAAGGUAAAACAGCUGACACUGUGCUGCUUUCACUGGUUACAUCCCCCAAUAUGAAUACAGUGCCGCUGGAAUGAGUGCUUCAUUAACUACUGAUGGAGCCAUUCUGCUUUGGCAUACACAAU